rnacentral:rRNA from 1 species
GCUUGCCGACAGCUAGCUCUCUGAUAACUCUCACAUGGUCGCCGACUGAAGCCAAGCAGGGCUGCGCCUGGUCAGUACUUGGAUGGGAGAACACACAGGAAAGCUAAGUUACUGCAGGAG